UUUCAGAAGAAGAGAAUGACGUCAGGAAAGAUUUAAUGGUGGCAACAACAUUAGAAACUUGAAGAAGCAUUGUUUUUGUUAAAUAUGUAGACCCAGCGAGUCAUGUGGAGGUGGAUAUGUGGGAUCCCACGAGCGAUACGGCAGCACCUGCACAAUAAGAGACCUUACACCACCGCCUGUCUCGAUGAGGAACAGAACAAACAAGACCAGAACAGAGUUUGUCACGCUACAAGAAAAAAUAAUUUUCAUGGUAACCAUAGAAAUGACCAGGGAGGGGAGAGAGAGUGGUGGAAUAGCAAACCUCGAUGGAAUUGCUUCACUUCUUCAGACACACUAGGAGUCUUAGGUUUGGGUGCAGUCGUAUAUCUUAGCCUACAGAUAUCAAGAUGUCACCAGAAACUUCAAGAGAGGAAGGAGAAACCUGUACAUGCCAGGAAUUGUCUUCUGUCCCAGAUAUCACAGAUUGUACACUGUCUACCGGCCACUGCACGGAGGCUCGGGGACCGGAAAGGACAACUCCAGGAUAGCGGAAAGGCACCUUUAGAAGGGGAAAACAAAGAAGAUCCACUGGCAAAAGUGAUGAACGACUUUGAAAAUGUGGUACAGAAGUAUGUGGCUAUAGCUAAAAAUAUUCAAGCCCAAUGCAAGGCUAAAACAGGGGAGAUGACUGAGGCAGUGAGUAUGUGGAAGGAGGCUAGCGAUAUGGGUCACUCCAGAUCACAGUUCAACCUGGGCCUCAGCUACGAAACAGGUCAGGGGGUCACAAAGGAUGUAAGAAAGGCUGCAAAGUAUUACAAGUUAGCAGCAGCAGAAAAUCACCCACAGGCCACGUAUAAUCUGGCCCUGAUGUACCAGGAGGGGGAAGGGGUGACACAGAAUGAGGACAAAGCCAUCAGUCUUAUGGAGAGAGCAGCCGAACUAGGACUAGCUCAGGCUCAGACAUACCUUGGAGUCCAUUAUACAGAGCAAGAUUCUCAAGACUAUAGCAAGGCAGUGUCAAAAUUCAGUGAAGCUGCAAAACAAGAGUAUCCAGAGGCACAGUACUUCCUAGGAAUUUGCUAUGAGCAGGGAUGGGGUGUAGAAGUCAAUGAAUGCAAGGCGGCUCAUUUAUAUUCCCAGGCAGCUCAGUCCGGACACGAUGGAGCUCUGUACAAUCUAGCAGUGUUUCAUGAAUAUGGAGUAGGAGGAUUACCAGAAGAUAUGCUGUCUGCAGAGGAGCUGUACAGAAAAUCUGCCAAACUGGGAAACAAAAUGGCUGAAGAUAAAGUGAUGGAAAUUGAGGCAAAGAACGUGGUUAAACCAUGGAAGGGAGACUAUCCUAGCUGUAAAAUGGAUGAAUUCCUCUCUGAUUUAGAUCACUUCUCAGGUCAAAAUAAAAACAUCAGGGAAUCUGAAGUAAAAGAUCAAAGACCAAUCAUUCAUAAAGAACAAACAUCAGAGUUAAAGGGAGAUAACUCCAGAAAUUCUUUCCACUUGUCUUCCUCUUCUCCGUCUCUGACAGAGUAUGUCCGCCAACAUCUGUCUCAGCUACAAAUCGGAGCAGCCCCCGCCCCGGGUCUUCUCUCAGCCCUCCCCUCUCAGGACCUAAGCGGGGUCUGGAACCCUCAGUUUGGGAGCCCUAGAAUCUCCUCUCCUGUCGCUACUGCUUCCCCUGUUGUUUUCACCCUGGGGGAUGAAGAUGAGGAGUUGAUGACCGUUAAUAGCCUCAGUGCCACACAGACAGACAUACAGUUCCACAUCCUGGAGAAGAAUCAUCACUUCUGCUCCAUGAUACAGAAAAAUUCCACCAUGCCAGAUCUUCACAGUCAGGCAGUAUCCUGCGUUUGAUGACUUCUUACGUUUGUUAAAUGACUGAAAAUUUUCACAGGAUUUUUAAAAGAAAAUAUUAAAUGACAUUUAGUAUGCCUUUAAUUGCUCUUUUUCCCCCUUGAACAUCAUGUACAUAGUCAUUUUAAGCCCUGGAUUAAAAAAAAAAACAGUUUUGCCUCAAAGCUUCACCAUUUUAUUUUUUUUUUUAUUUUAUUUUUUUCCUAAACAGCUUUUGCAUAUUUUUUGUUUCUUUAUACAUGAACUGUUCACAUAAUUUUUGUAAUUCCAUAUCAUGGCACAUCUAUAAAAUUGUUCCAAAGCUCAAUUGAAUUUUCCUCUUCUCAUAAAUGGCUUUAUUGUGUUUAAGCAAUUCUUUGCCAUUUUUAGGCUUAGGCUUGGCAGUUUUUGGUGUAAUACAUUUCUGCUAUUGCAGCAAGUAUCUCUGUAAACAUUAUUGAGUGAUGUGUGUUAGAAUAGAAUUUUUGACUUAGUCAAUAGAUAUUUCUUCAUUGAUUGCUUAUAAAAGUGUAUUAAAAAUUCUCGAAAGAGACCAGUGUGCCAAUGUUAACUUCAUAGACAGCUUUAUUUAGACAUUCUGUUUUUAUUAUUUUUUAAUCUAAAUAUUUGAUAUUGAUUUAUGUAAUCAUCAAAUAAGGAAGAUAUUAUGUUGAAUCAGAUGUGUGAUUUUGAAUUCCAACUCAGACUUUAAAAACCAUAUGUUACAGUUCAGGUUUUAUUUUGUUAUAAUUUGUCAUAUUAUUCACAAUUUUGUUGUUCACAAAACUCAGUUUAUCAUAAUUCAUUCUACAAAUAUAUGUCAUUUAAGUAAUACUCCCUUCAUUGUAGAGAGAAAGUUAUGCAGUUGAUUUGGUAACCUGACAGAAUGUUAAUUGUUUUAACAUGUUUUGUGUUCAGUUGUUUUGUAGAGUUUGAGCAUAUAAUUGGUGCAUCAUUACUAUGUAAGAUGUCCAUUUUUUGUUUCACUAUAUGCAGUUACCAGUGUGCUCUGUACCAGCACAAUAAUCUCACCAAGCACUAACAUUAAACAGAGCUUGUUUUGUUUGUUUUUGUUUUGUAAAGGGGGGAGGGAAUAACCAAAUAAUGAAAUGUUCUUGUAUGAAAUGUACAAUGUAAUUUGUAAAUAAAAACACCAGAUUUGUUA